UACGGAGGGUGCAAGCGUUGUUCGGAAUCAUUGGGCGUAAAGCGCGUGUAGGCGGCUUGGCAAGUCGGUUGUGAAAUCCCGGGGCCCAACCCCGGAACUGCAUUCGAAACUGCCUCGCUAGAGUCCCGGAGAGGAAGGCGGAAUUCCCGGUGUAGAGGUGAAAUUCGUAGAUAUCGGGAGGAACACCAGCGGCGAAGGCGGCCUUCUGGACGGUGACUGACGCUGAGGAGCGAAAGUGUGGGGAGCGAACAGG
rnacentral:rRNA from 1 species